rnacentral:rRNA from 1 species
GACGAACGCUGGCGGCGUGCUUAACACAUGCAAGUCGAACGGAAAGGCCCUGCUUUUGUGGGGUGCUCGAGUGGCGAACGGGUGAGUAACACGUGAGUAACCUGCCCUUGACGUUGGGAUAACUGCAGGAAACUGGGGCUAAUACCGGAUAGGAGCUCCUGCUGCAGGGUGGGGGUUGGAAAGUUUCGGCGGUGGGGGAUGGACUCGGGGCUUAUCAGCUUGUUGGGGGGGGAGCGGCUUACCAAGGCUUUGAAGGGUCGCCGGCCUGGGAGGGUGACCGGCCACAUUGGGACUGAGAUAGGCACCAGUCUCCAACGGGGGGCAGCGGUGGGAAAUAUUGCCCAAUGGGGGGAAGCCUGAUGAAGCAGCGCCGCGUGCGGAAUGACGGCCUUGGGGUUGUAAACCGCUUUCGCCUGUGACCAAGCGUGAGUGACGGUAAUGAGUAAAGAAGCACCGGCUAACUACGUG